AAGUCAAUCGAACUGCUGGAGGAGCUCGGCCUCCCCAAGGGCUUCCUGCCCCUCGUGGACAUCCAGGAGUUCGGGUACAACCGCGAGACAGGGUUCAUGUGGCUGGUGCAGGGGAAGAAGAAGGUGGAGCACACCUUCAAAAGGAUCAAGCAGACCGUGUCGUACGCCACUGAGGUGACGGCAUUCGCCGAGAAGGGCAAGCUGAGGAAGAUCACCGGCGUGAAGACAAAGGAGCUGAUGCUCUGGCUCAGCGUCGUGGAGGUCUACGUGCCCGAGGCCUCAUCGGAGAAGGUUACCUUCAAGACUGGCACUGGCCUAUCCGACACCUUCGAUGCCUCUGCCUUUGCGCUGGGAGAGUAAUUACCAGCCACAAAAAUGGUUGGCUUCAAAAGACAUGCAUAAUCUAUCUUUUGUAUUUUAAACUUCCAUAUAUCUUGUGAUGAGUUUAUGACCCAUAAUCAAGGGCCGUGCCCAUUGCAGACAUUUCUAUGUAUUUCCUUGUUUAUCAUAUAGUUUUUAAAUAUCUCACUUCAAAACAUUAAAAAUAAAUGUGCUUGUAGUCGUAGCUUACUAGUCGGUUGCCUGUGCGUUGCGACGGCUUACAACAAUAACCACGUAAACUAUCCACACAAAAAAAUUCAAGAUUUUUUAUUGAUUAUCUCCGCUCUCUAUAUAAUAUUUUUGAUUUGGCUAACUGAUGUUAUUGUUUACUACAUGCAAUAUGUCUUAGUACAACACGACCAAUGAAGUGAGCGAUUAGAAGAGAGUUCACAACGACUAUAGAUGUUCAAACGGACCGGGCUUGCCGGGCGGCCCGAAACCUGGCACGGGUUUGGCCCGGCACGAACCCGGCACGACACGUAGUGAACCUGGCCCGUGCCGGACCGGCCCAGUCACCGGGUCGUGUCUGGGCCGAAGGCGUGGCACGACGGGCUAGGCCUGACACAGGCCGAUUUUAUUUUUUUAUUUUUUCAUAUAAAUAUAUGUAUUAUAUUUAAUAUAGAGUAUAAAACAAAAGAAACAUGUGUUUUUGUUGGUUAUGUGGGUGUAAAUAAAUGUUUAGAGCUAAUAAAUAUGGUUUAAAUCCUCAAAAAUGCAUACUUUUAGGACAUUUUUAUCAUUUAAACGUCAUAUAUUGUUAUGAGCCCGUUAGGCCCGUCGGGCCCUGGACCGGCCCGACACGAUUAUUAACCUAGCGGGUCGUGCUUGGGCCUCGCUUGGGGCCGUGGGCCGGCACGGCAUGACCCGCUAGCUAAUUUGGGCCGAGUCGACACGGUCCUAAUCUGUGUCGGGCCUAGUCGUGCUCGGACCGGUCCGGCACGGCCCGCCCAUUUGGACAUCUAUAACAACGACUGACUGAACGAACAUAGAUUAUAAAAUGACAUAAUUCCACCAUAAAGAGACCAAAUAAGAGAAAGUUUGUGAACUCAAGUUUCUAAAAUAAGUCACAUGAACUCAAACUUAAAAAAAGAUAUAUCAAAAUAUGGAGUGAUUGUUAAAGUCAGACAUCAAUAAAAACUAGAUGUGCUCCAUAUAAAUAUGCUACUUCGUAGCAAUUACUAACGUUUAAAACCAACAAAUAACCUAUCAUUUUACUGUUAGUGUGACAAAUCAUUGUUGCUCUAUCCAAUUCAGCAACCUCAAACACCAUGAGGUCCAUUGCGACAAUGUGGUCUCAGAAACGACCUAAUGUUUGCAAGAGCCAAGAACGUCAUGUCGUGGUUGGGUUGUAGCCUCGGCCCGUAGUGCUGGCCUGGUCCGACAUGAUUAUAUAUUUUUUUAUUUUACAAAAAACGUAUAUACAUAUAUACAAUUUAUAUUCAAUAUUAAAAAUAUCUGAGCAUUAUGUUCUACUGGUUAGACAACUUCAUCCAGUGUCUCUCGCCUUUCUUCUAUCAGGGCAUGGGUUCAAAUCCCACCUCCUGCACCGUUUUUUGACAUUUUGCGCUGAUUUAAUGGGCCGACGGGCUAACGGGCUAGCCCGACACAGUCAGCAGGCCGACAUGACGUGCCUGGGCCACAACGCGGGCGUCGGGCCCAUGCCGAGCCGCCGUUUGACCAUCUAUAGGCGUGCAACAGAUUAAUUUGAAAUAGCUGUGAUGGGUUAUUUGUAAAAAGAUAACGUGGGACGACCUUUGAAACUGGUGCUUUAAAUAUAGUAUAGAUAUUGGAGCAGAUGGCUUUGUAUUUAUCACAAGGCUUGUCCUAUUUUUCACCAGUGAUAAUGUUGCGUUCAAAAUCAAUCGUAUAGCUACAUCUAAGGCCACAUACAUACUUGCACGCACUACGUGUGUUGUCUUAGUAAUUCUCAUAAAUGUAAGAGCGGUAGACGGCAAGCUCUGAAAGCUCACGCUCGCGUCGCUCCCACGCGGGGCGACAUAGGUGGCUCCCAAGCCUGCCGCCGCUUUCCCUCUCUUCUCUCCUGCCACGCCGCCGCGGAGCUGGCCACCCGUAUGGCCAUCCGGGCGAUAGGGAUGGUGGCGGCGAGGCUCUCUUCCUCGCGUUGGUGGCGCACCACGCAGCAAGCCGACAAGCCAUCCCUCGCGCUGCUGCGUGGAGUUGACGAGGGUGGCUGCUGCGGCUGUGGCGGCGCCGGCUAGUGCGCCCCCGCAGCUAUAGUGGGACGGCGGCGGGCUCUCUUUCUUUUUUCCCCAUGUGUUCCCCUCCUACUUUCUUGACGGCGGCAACAGCUCAACCUGUGGUCGCUAGCCCUGGCCCAGGCAGUCGAAUCCGAUGCCUGGGGCCGGAUCUGGACCCUGGCGACCGGAUCUGCCUCGGUAGCUGGCAGUAGGUGCGGUGGCGGCCGGUGGCGGUUGCGUUGGAGGCGGCUGGUUGGGGUUUGUGCAAGUGUUGUGGGGCGGCACACUCUUCUUUGCCACCCCUCCCCUCACGGUCUUGACUGCUGUUGUGGUCGAGGCGGCAACCUCCUUCGGCCGGCCAGCCUACGGUGUUCGGGCGGUGGCUUUGACGACAGCCCAGGGUGGUGCUCGCGGUUGUGGUCCGCACGGAGGCGGCGACGUCUGCAGGGGCGCCGAUUUUGGGACCUGCCAUCCAGAUCCGGUGGCCUCAGGGCAGGGGGCGACGCUCGAGAUGGAGGGGCACACGUCCUAUGGUUGUUGGUGGAUGAUGGUGACGACAUCGGCAGGUGCCGUGGCCGACGACGUUGGUCAUUUGUGGCCUCGGCGUGCGGCCUUGUGAAACUGCGAUGGUGGUGGCAUGACGCUUCGCCGUCGGCGUGGCGGUGCUUGAGGUCACACGUUUGUGAGGGGCGACGCCGGCGAGUGGUCGAGAUGGCGCAAGGUGGUGGUGGAGGUGGCAGGGUGUCCGACAACAUCUAGAUUCGGUGGCCGCGUGUGCUAGUGCCAUCGGCUGCCGGGUGCGGCUCUGGCACACGCCUGUGUGACACAUGUGGUAUGGAGGACGGCGACGACGGUAGAUCUUGGCCUGACGUUGGUGCUGGGUCUUCUUGGGCGAGAGCCUCGGCGACGGCGACGCCCGUGGGCACCGCUUCCCCUAUUGGGGGCGUCAUAUUCCUCAUCAUUUUCUUCCUUGGGCGAAAGCCUGGUCCAUCUCGGACUCGCGACGGUGUCGUCCCCAACGUCACUCCCUUUUUGAUGGCGUCACAUUGAAGUUUGUCUCGGCCUCGUCUUCGCCUUCGAUGGUUGCUUUCGAUUCUCGACGUCUGGUAUGCGGGUGAAGAUGGGGCUUUGCAAUGUGAAGUCGAAGCUGUUGCAUCAGGGGUUGUGGCUCAGCAACGAUGACAGCUGACGAGCCCCCUUCUUCGUGGACUGGAUUGUUUCGAAGGGUCAUGGAUCUACUAGGGUAGGACGGAGGUUCAAACUCGUUGGUGAAGAAUCAGAGUUGUCUCACGUGGGGUGUGUUGAGGCUUGGCAACGACGGCGCACACGAUCUUCCUCCUUCUAUACUGGUGUUUGGUUGUAGACGUCGUCGUGUUUUCUUUGGCCAUGUGCGGCCCGUCUUGCGGAAUCAGAGCUGUUUGUCUCUUGGGUCGGGCUCGGCAACGAUAACUCUGAAUGGGUUGUGUGUGAGGGGCUCCUGUUGUCGGGGAUGUUUGUGCAUUCUGUAGGCAGUGACUGUUGUGCCGUGUUGAUGUCCCAAUCUAAUUGGCGAGUUUGGUGUGUUGGUGUCCCAAUCCAACCGUAUGUUGUUUUGUUGCUCUGUUCGAUCCGGACCCUUCUCCUUUAUUAAUAUAAUCAGCAGCUCUCCUGUCUGGCUCGUUUCAAAAAAAAAUGAUAAAUGUCUGAUCUGCACUCUCUAACUCUUCAAGUCAUAGUCUGCAUUGUUGUCUCCUCGUAAAGGACAAAAUCAAUGUUUCAGUUAAGAAAGCUUCCAAUGCUUACUUCUUCUUAUCUACAUUUUAGACCACACAUCCUGUUGAGUACAAGGAACACUCGUCUUUCAAGUUCAUGUAAUAGUAUAGGAUGUUUGUCAUCUUUUCAUGUAUGAUGCUUAUAGAUGACUGCUAAAACUGAAUGGGCUUCUUUAUCUGAAACUGUAAUUUUGUUCUCACUGUUUGCAUAACCAACAGCAUCUAAACCUUACCAACAAUCUACUGUAAUAGGUAUGUACUGCAUGAUACUAAAUAUGCUAAAUCAAUAAUUAUUUUAGGAAAAACGGCAGACCACAACAUGUCUGUGAGUCUGUCCAUGCAUCAAGUGCUGAAAGUGAGUAGCGUCUGACGACCGUUGGGUUCUAGAGUCAGGUGAAGUGUUGAUUCGCCUUCGACAUUGAGAGCGUUGCUUCGAAGACAACAGACCAUAGCUCGACGAAUUGGAUGAUCUUCUCUGUGCUAGACUGGUAGUCGUUCACCGCAUGCCUUCCAUCCAGCUUGUAAGAAUUCCCGGGUUUUCCUCCACGCUAUGUGGAGUGAUCUGUCAUGCUAGAAGGAGAUUUUGUUGCCUCUUGCGGUCUUGCCGUUUCCUACCUUGAUCGAGGCCAGUUAUGAACAGAUGUUAAGUCACCAAGCCGGCGUGUUGUUUGAAGAAUGCUAUAAACUCUGCUUCAAUCAUAAGGGAGAAUGUGAUUCAGUCGAGUAAGAGUGUGCAUUGUUUGACCUCUCUACUGAAUUGUUCUAUUUUUGUUGGCUGGGCUCCAGUGAUUCAUUCGGAUGGAUACGAAGAGAAAUGGUCAAAUUUGUAGUUCAGCGCGCCAAGCUCAGACUUGUAUGAUGGUGUGUAGUAUCUUGUAACUUAAAGAAAUGUAAGAAAAAUGUCCAGUUAUUUUGGAGGAUUCUCAGGACUUUCUUAAGUUAAAAUUUGUAUUUUUCUUUCUCAUACUAGUUAGCUAGCUCAGCAUGUACAUGAGAAGAGAAAUAGGGCAUAGCUAAAUCCAAAAUUCUGGAGCGACAAUCUUAACUUCGUUUGUCACAAAAGAAAUGCAGGGGUGGCAAUAUGGACUUUGUCAAAUGGGACGCACUCUUCCAACGAAGUCAAAUAGGACUGCCCGUCUCUAUAGAAGCCGCAUGCCUAUAUAGAUGUGCAGCUUCUUCUCCGAUCACACAAACAUUUCAUCGCCUCCUAAAGCAGCAUCGGCCACUACCACCGUCUCUUCCUCACCUAGCUAGCGAACGAGAACGACCAUGGCGUCCCAGGCCAUCGAGAGCCACCGUGCAGGCGCUGAGGUCGUCACCGGAGGAGACACAAUCUGCAGGAAGAAGUCAAUCGAGCUGCUGGAGGAGCUCGGCCUCCCCAAGGGCUUCCUGCCUCUUGAGGACAUCCAGGAGUUCGGGUACAACCGCGUGACAGGGUUCAUGUGGCUGGUGCAGGGGAAGAAGAAGGUGGAGCACACCUUCAAAAAGAUCAAGCAGACCGUAUCGUAUGCCGCUGAGGUGACGGCAUUCGCCGAGAAGGGCAAGCUGAGGAAGAUCACCGGCGUGAAGACAAAGGAGCUGAUGUUCUGGCUCAGCGUCGUCGAGGUGUACGUCCCCGAGGCCUCGCUAGAGAAGGUUACCUUCAAGACUGGCACUGGCCUAUCCGACACCUUCGAUGCCUCUGCCUUUGCGCUGGGAGAGUAAUUACUCAUAAAAAUGGUUGGCUUCAAAAGACAUGCAUAAUCUAUCUUUUGUAUUUGUAAAUUUUUCAUAUAUCUUGAGACGAGUUUGUGGUACUCAUGGGCGAUGCCCAUUGAAACAUUUCUAUGUACUAGGUCAGUACCCGUGCGUUGCAACGGGAACAUAUAAUAUCAUGAUAACUUAUAUACAAAAUGUGUCUUAUAUUGUUAUAAGAAAAUAUUUCAUAAUCCAUUUGUGAUCCUAGUCAUACCUAAAUUUUGUUAUUUUAAUUUAAUUGUUUCACUACUACAUUGCAACCAUCAGUAUCAUGCAGACUUCAAUAUAUGUCAUGAUUUGCAUGGUCUCAUUAUUGGAGAGCACGUGCCACACCUGCCGGUAGAAGUUCCGUCGUACAUCGUUAGUCAUCAGGCACGCACCAUCAUACACGCUUGCUUAAACAAAAAAUGCAAGUGUGUGUUUGCGAAGAGAAUUAAAGGCAGGCCGACACAAAAGGUACCCCGACGAUGGCGAGUGGUCAUUGUUGUCGGUCCACCUCUGCUCACCUCCGGUGUCGAGAUGACACCACAAUCCUUGAUAUAAUAGUCGUCGAACGCGCGCGAUAUGGUGAGUACCGAUCACUCUUGGUUGAGCUGCCAAAUGAAGUGCACCCCGGGCUCAUUAGCGAGGUAGUACACCUGGUCGUUGCACCACCGGAUGUGCUACUACUCUACAUACAUCUUGUUCGAGAACACUCACACAACAACAACAAUGGUCAUCAUUCCAGCGCACAAGAAUUCAUGGUCGGUCAGUAGCGACUUACGUGGCAGGUUAGACUUCAGGUGGAUGAUGAGCUAGACGGCGUGAUGGCGUCGUCGUAGGUUGCGAUGCCCAGAACAACCCGAGAGUCGUCGACAUUGGCGACGACCAUGAGGUCCCUAUGUUUGACGAUGGACAGCGCUGUGCAGCCGCUCUGGACCACGUCCAAGCAGCGGCUGCACCGGAGCUUGCCGUACACAGCGGCGCAUGGGCCAUGUAGGACUGCUUCCAGAGUUCGAACUGGCAGGCGCCAAGUUUCUUCUCGUCGUCGGUGAGCGACGCCAACGCGAGCGCCUCGUGCUAGUGGUGUUUGUUCGGGGUUUCCAAGUAAGAAACAUGGAUUCAUCUUUGGCAUUGGUUUAUGAAAAUGAUUUAUAAGUUAGAUCCAUGGAAAAAUAUUAUGGAGAAUAAAUGUUACACAUGCAAAAAAAGUAUUUAAGUUGAAAACAUUAUUCAAACAAAAAAAAUUGCAUGCAAGGCUCUUCUUUAAAUACUACUCUCUCAAUCCAAAAAUAUAAUUUAAUAAUCUCGGUGAUACUUAUCUACUACUACACAUUGUGCAAUGGUAGUAGGUGGGCUUCGGGAGAGAUGUAUUAUAUGUUUUUACUAUAAUAGAUAUAGACAUAAACACACAUGUGGUGUAGUGGUAGCUACAAACACAUUUAUUUGAGAGGUCGUGGGUUCGAAUCCCCUUGGAGCCUGUUUUUUUAAUUUAAUUUUAGCUAGGCGUGGGAUGCACGUGAGAAUGAGAAUAGGCUUUGUGGGAGGGGGAAUGAGAAAGACUGAGAAAGACAGGCAGCUGAGAAUGAGAAUGGGCUUUGCAGUGAGGACGAAAUGGGAAUGGCAGAACACGGAAUGUGGCAGCCUACCUCUUACCGUCUUAAUAGGUAGUAGAGAUUUUCUUAUUUAUCAGAUAGUUUUUUCUAAAUAUCUCACUUCAAAACAUUAAAAAUAAAUGUCCUCGUAGUCAUAGAUGAGUUCUUAUAUUGGAGCAGAUGGCUUUGUAUUUAUAACGGGGCUUAUGUCCUUCGUAUUUAUUACGAAGGGUAAUAUUGUGUUCAAAAGUUGCCAGUACAGCUACAUCUAAGGCCAGAUACAUACUUGCAAGUACUAUAAAGUGUGUGAGGCUACAACACUUACCAACUAUGCUGGAUAUGAUAACGUAGGAUAUUAAUAUAGUUAAGCUUGAGGCAGUAGGUGUACUGUGAGUACUAUGCAGUGUGUGCACCUAUAGCAACUACCAACGACCCUUACGAUACAACAACUACGUUAAAAUUGGAGUAGCUAGACUUUUGGUGGGUGAAACCCGCCAUUGCCAUCGAUGCACGAAUGUAACUCUCCUCUCCCUUGUGCUAUAAAGAGUCGUAGAGGAACGUAGAAACAAGACAUGUCUGUAUUUAGGUUACAAAGGUUGCAUCCAAGUGUCAUGAUCAGAGCUGAAAAUACACUAGAGUCACAACUUGCAAGGUCUACUAUAGGUUGCAGCCGCCAAAGUCUAGAAGUGCAUAUGUUUCUAGUUCCUCUCGGUAGCUCGGUUAUCAACUAAAUAUGUAAGAUCUUUAGUAUUUGCAUCUAUACAUCUACCAUAAAAGAUUUAGGGUAUUACCCUUUGGUGGCCUAAAACUAUUUAUAUGAUACAUGUGGAAAUUGUCGUGAUGGCGUUCUAUUGCUACACCUUCGUCUAUGAUUUUCUUUGGUACCUUUGGUACCAUGGUGUCGCAUCCCAAUCAUAGUAGCCAUCUGAUCCAAUUAAAUAAUCGGCUCACAAUCAUUUGGGUGUACCACAACAAAGAAGCUAUGUCAAGGUCAAAGCAUACAAGAUUUGCUAAAGGGGAGAGGUUUUGAAACAAAAUGCCAACAUCUAACCUAUUAAUUGCCAUAGCACUGAAGCUGGGCAAAGAUUUUUUUUAAUGUCUGAUUCGCACUCUCUAACUCUUCAAGUCACAGUCUAGCCUGUUCGCUUGGCUUUAAUAUGUAUCGUCUUUUACUAUUUUUACAGUGUUUUUAUCUCUAUGGCUGCAUCAUUGUUGUCUCCUGGCAAAGGCUAAAACCAAUGUUUUUCAGUUAAAAAAGCUUCCAAUGCAUAUUUCUGCUUAUGUGCAUUUUAGACCACGCAUCCUGUAUUCCUGUUGCGUACAAAGGAACGCUUAUCAUUCAAGUUCAUGUACUAGUACAGGAUGUUUGCCGUCUUUUCAUGCAUGACGCUUAUAAAUGACUGCUAAGGCCUUGUUCGUUUCCAUCGGAUUGCACCCGGAAUCGUUCCAGCUAAUCAAAGUUUAUAUAAAUUAGAGAAACAAUCCAGUCAGGAAUUAUUCGGACCCACCAAUCCGAUAGAAACGAACAAGGCCUAAAACUGCAUGGGCUUCUUUAUCUGAAACUGUAGUUUUAUUAUCGCUGUUUGCAUAGUCAACAGCAUCCAAACAUUACAGAUAAUCUACCAUAAUAGGUAUGCAACUUUCUUAGGAAAAAAUGGCAGGUGCUCUGCCUUGUCAUUUAAGCAGGGAACGGAUAUUUACGUAGAGGGUUAUCACAUCACAUCAAACUGAUGCAGUUCUCAACAAAUAAAAGAAAAAAAAGGGACAGAAACGGCAGACCACAACAUGUCUGCGAUCUGCCCAUGCAUCAAGUGGUGAAAGUGAGUAUUGUCAAUCGCCCGUUGCGUUCUAGAGUCAGGUGAAGUGUCGCUUCGCGUUCGACAUUGCAGAGCCUACAGGUCUUGUUGGUACCCAGCCGCUUUUGAUUACUCCCUCCGUUUCUUUUUAUUUGUCGCCGAGUAGUUUAAAUUUGUACUAACGGACGACAUAUAUUAAGGAACGGAGGGAGUAUUUAGCUGCCGUGAGCAGCUUGUGUUGCAGUGCUAACCGUGGAUAAAAUUACUUUUUUACACCUUCGUUUUCCAAACUGAGUUCCAGUUGAAGGUGAUUCAGCAAGUAUGGGGGGAUUUUCUGAAGAAUGCUAUCAACUCUAGUUCAGUCAUAAGGGAGAAUGUGAUUCAGUAGAGUAAGAGUAUGCUUUGUUUGACCUCUCUACUGAAUUGUUCUAUUUUUGUUGGCUGGACUCCAGUGAUUCAUUCUGAUCCCAAAAUUCAGGAGCGACAAUCUUGACUUCGUUUGUCACAAAAGAAAUUCAGGUGUGGCAAUGUGGACUUUGUCAAAUUCGACGCUCUCUGCCAACGAAGUCAAAUAGGACUGCCCGCCCCGCGUUGCUUCUCUAUAGAAGCUGCAUGCCUAUAAAGAUGUGUUGCAGCUCCUUCUCCCAUCACACAAACAUUUCAUCGCCUCCUAAUUCCUAAAGCAGCAUCGGCUACUAGCCUACUACUACUGUCUCUUGCUCACACAGCUCGUCUGUGCAGCACAUAGCUAGUGAACGAAAACGACCAUGGCGUCCCAGGCCAUCGAGAGCCACCGUGCAGGCGCUGAGGUCGUCAAUGGAGGAGACGCCAUCUGCAGGAAGAAGUCAAUCGAGCUGCUGGAGGAGCUCGGCCUCCCCAAGGGCUUCUUGCCCCUCGAGGACAUCCAGGAGUUCGGGUACAACCGCGAGACAGGAUUCAUGUGGCUAGUGCAGGGGAAGAAGAAGGUGGAGGCGUGGAGCACACAUUCAAGAAGAUCAAGCAGACCGUGUCGUACGCCGCUGAAGUGACGGCAUUCGCGGAGAAGGGCAAGCUGAGGAAGAUCACCGGCGUGAAGACAAAGGAGCUGAUGAUCUGGCUUAGCGUCGUCGAGGUCUACGUCCCCG
rnacentral:lncRNA from 1 species